rnacentral:tRNA from 1 species
UCCCUGGUGGUCCAGGGGUUAAGACCUGGCUCUUUCACUGCUGUGACCUGGGUUCAAUCCCUGGUUGGGGAA